rnacentral:rRNA from 1 species
AUUGAACGCUGGCGGCAGGCCUAACACAUGCAAGUCGAGCGGAUGAAGGGAGCUUGCUCCUGGAUUCAGCGGCGGACGGGUGAGUAAUGCCUAGGAAUCUGCCUGGUAGUGGGGGAUAACGUCCGGAAACGGGCGCUAAUACCGCAUACGUCCUGAGGGAGAAAGUGGGGGAUCUUCGGACCUCACGCUAUCAGAUGAUCCUAGGUCGGAUUAGCUAGUUGGUGGGGUAAAGGCCUACCAAGGCGACGAUCCGUAACUGGUCUGAGAGGAUGAUCAGUCACACUGGAACUGAGACACGGUCCAGACUCAUACGGGAGGCAGCAGUGGGGAAUAUUGGACAAUGGGCGAAAGCCUGAUCCAGACAUGCCGCGUGUGUGAAGAAGGUCUUCGGAUUGUAAAGCACUUUAAGUUGGGAGGAAGGGCAGUAAGUUAAUACCUUGCUGUUUUGACGUUACCAACAGAAUAAGCACCGGCUAACUUCGUG